CUGAAUUCAUCCAUCCAUUUGUUCAUCUCAGUUCCCCUCCAUAUUUCCAUCACUCUCUCUCUCGCACCUUCAAUCCUUCGUCAACACGAACUCGUGUGGCGAUUUUACGGCCAGCAUUGGAAGCUUCGGCCACCGUAUGAACAACCUACACAAUCGUAUCUUCACCGUCGACAGAUCUCUGGUAAAUAUUUGCGCCUCUCGAAACCCUAAAAUCGCUUAAAACGGAAUCAUGCGACUCGAUUUUUGCUCCGAUCAACUACUGACGCAACAGAGGUCGGCUACGAACCUUAUGGUUGCUGCACCAGUUGUAUAAAUCGUACGAGCUUAUCAACAUAGUUAAAUACUAAAGAAUGAUGAACUUGUGCCACUUCCGCCUUCAAGUGAGUCAUCAAUAACAAGUCAUUUAUCAAAUCCUCAAUGACUAGUGUGUCACCACCGAACCUCUUAGCAUAAAAAACAAGCACGCCUUAGUUUGAUGACAAAUUUUGACGACGACUUCAAUAGCCCUCAGGAUUACCAUACUAGCGACAAACAGAGGAAGUCACACUUGUAGAGCUUGAUGGAGAUGGAGAUUACCGUGUGCCUUUUGAACUUGGAGGUAGUGGUGGAAUGUUGAGAAAAACUAGUUGUUGGAAAUGCGCAAAAGGAUUGAAGAUGAUCGUUAAAGAAAAAAAGCCGAGCUUGAAACUAUGUGAAAAGAGUUUGCUAGCCAGCAACCCAACUUGGAAGCUAUGAUGCGGAAGGUUAUGAAGCAAGUAGUUGGAGAUCGAGAUUAGUAGAAUGUUUUCACUUUUUUAUUAUUGUAAUUUACUGUAAGGUUAUUUAAGUUUCGACAAACAUGUUGAAGUACACACUUUGAUUAUC
rnacentral:lncRNA from 1 species